rnacentral:rRNA from 1 species
AGAAAAGCUACUAAGAGCGUAUGGGGGAUGCCUUGGUGCUAGCAGGCGAUGAAAGACGUAGUAUAUCUGCGAUAAGCUUCGGGGAACUGAUAAACAAGUGUAGAUCCGGAGAUUUCUGAAUGAGGAAACUUUAUUGUUUAAAAACAAUAGCGCGAUAUUGAACACAUAGAUAUCGACGAGCGAACCUAGGGAAGUGAAACAUCUCAGUACCUAGAGGAAAAGAAAUCAAUAGAGAUACCCUAAGUAGUGGCGAGCGAACGGGGUAAAGGCUAAACCACAUUUUUGUGGGGUUGUAGGGCUUUCUAGCAAUGUAUGCGCGAAAUAGUUAAAUGAAUUUGGAAUAGUCAACCAUAGAGGGUGAUAGUCCCGUAAGCGAAAUUUUAAGCAUAUAUAGAGAGUACCUGAGUACUGCAGGACACGUGAAAUCCGGUAGGAAUCUAGGUCGACCAUGAUCUAAGCCUAAAUACUAGCUAGCGACCGAUAGUGAACAAGUACCGUGAGGGAAAGGUGAAAAGCACCCCGAGAGGGGAGUGAAAGAGACCUGAAACCGUACGCUUACAAGCAGUCAAAGAUCUAUGUCAAGGCGACUUGACAGAUUAAUGGCGUGCCUUUUGCAUAAUGAUGUGGCGAGUUGUCCUAUGUAGCAAGGUUAAAUCAUGAUAAGGAUGGAGCCGAAGGGAAACCGAGUCUUAAAAGGGCGUGAAGUUGCAUGGGGCAGACCCGAAGCGGGAUGAUCUAGCCAUGGCCAGGAUGAAGCGUGAGUAAAGCCGCGUGGAGGUCCGAACCGGUAAAAGUUUAAAAUUUUUCGGAUGAGCUGUGGUUAGGGGUGAAAGGCCAAUCAAAUUCCGGGAUAGCUGGUUCUCCCCGAAAAAUAUUUAGGUAUUGUCUUUAAAAUUCAGUUAUGGAGGUAGAGCACUGGAAGGGCUGGGGGUCUUACCGGACUACUAAACCCUACCAAACUCCGAAUGCCAUAAACUGUUAUUUAAGGAAGCAGUCUUUGGGUGCUAAGAUUCAAGGACGAGAGGGAAAGAGCCCAGAUCGAAAGCUAAGGCCCCUAAAUUCUAAUUAAGUGGAGAAGGAUGUGACAACGCAAAAACAACCAGGAAGUUGGCUUAGAAGCAGCCAUCUUUUAAAGAAAGCGUAAUAGCUCACUGGUCUAGCGAGGUUGCGCCUAAAAUGUAACGGGGCUAAAAUUAGAUGCCGAAGCUUCGAAUUCGAGUAGGGAUUAUUUCUGAAAGAAUGGUAGGGGAGCAUUGUAGUUGCAGGGAAGGUGAACCGAAAGGAUCUCUGGAGCGACUACAAGAGAUUAUGCCACAAUGAGUAGCGAUAAAGCGUGUGAGAAACACGCUCGCCGAAAAUCCAAGGUUUCCCGGGGCAGGUUAAUCCGCCCGGGGUUAGUCGGACCUUAAGCCGAGGCCGAAUGGCGUAGGCGAUAGAUUGCUGGUUAAUAUUCCAGCACCUAAUGUUAAGUGUUGAAGUAAGCAGGGACGGAGAAGGGUAGCUAGGCCACUUAUUGGAUGGUGGUUUAAGCCUGUAGAUUGAGAAAGGACGAUAAAAGAUUUUCUCAUAAAAAUUGAGGGGUGAUUUCGGAGUUCUUAGUGAUAAGAGCGGAAGUUAGUGAUCCCACGCUUCCAAGAAAAGCUGCGUAUGGAGCUUAACAAUAGACCGUACCGUAAACCGACACAGGUGGAUGGGGUGAGAAUCCUAAGGCGCUUGAGAGAACUCAGUCUAAGGAACUCUGCAAAUUGACACCGUAACUUCGGGAUAAGGUGUACCCUAAAGGUGUAUGAACAAGCUUCAAAAGCCUUAAAGGGUUGCAAAAAUCAGGCGGUGGCGACUGUUUAACAAAAACACAGCACUCUGCAAAACCGUAAGGUGAAGUAUAGGGUGUGACGCCUGCCCGGUGCUGGAAGGUUAAUGGGAGAAGUUAGCUUUAUGCGAAGCUUUAAACUGAAGCCCCAGUAAACGGCGGCCGUAACUAUAACGGUCCUAAGGUAGCGAAAUUCCUUGUCGGGUAAGUUCCGACCUGCACGAAUGGCGUAACGAUCUCCGCACUGUCUCGGACUGGGACUCAGUGAAAUUGAGUGUGCUGUGAAAACGCAGUGUACCCGCAGCAAGACGGAAAGACCCCGUGAACCUUUACUGUAGCUUGAUAAUGAUAUUUGGAUAAAUUUGUGUAGAAUAGGUGGGAGGCUAAGAUGUUUAAGUGCAAGCUUAAAUGGAGCCAAAAGUGAAAUACCACCCUGAUUGAUCUGAGUCUCUAACUUAGAUCCCUGAAUCGGGAUUAAGGACAUUGUCUGGUGGGCAGUUUGACUGGGGCGGUCGCCUCCCAAAAAGUAACGGAGGCGCGCAAUGGUUCCCUCAGCCCGAUUGGAAACCGGGCGCUGAGUGCAAUGGCAUAAGGGAGCUUAACUGCGAGACUGACAAGUCGAGCAGAUGCGAAAGCAGGUCAUAGUGGGCCGGUGGUUCUGAAUGGAAGGGCCAUCGCUUAACGGAUAAAAGGUACUCCGGGGAUAACAGGCUUAUCACGCCCGAGAGACCACAUUGACGGCGUGGUUUGGCACCUCGAUGUCGGCUCAUCGCAUCCUGGGGCUGAAAGCGGUUCCAAGGGUAUGGGUGUUCGCCAUUUAAAGCGGUACGCGAGCUGGGUUCAAAACGUCGUGAGACAGUUUGGUCCCUAUCUGCUGUGGGCGUAGGAAGUUUGAGGGAGGCUGACCUUAGUACGAGAGGACCGGGUUGGACGAACCUCUGGUGGACCGGUUAUUAUGCCAAUAGUACAGCCGGGUAGCUAUGUUCGGAAAGGAUAACCGCUGAAAGCAUCUAAGUGGGAAACCUGUCCCAAGAUAAGACUUCCCAGAUAAUAAUAUCUCUAAAGACUCCUUGUAGACUACGAGGUUGAUAGGCUAAAAGUGUAAGUGUAGUAAUACAUUGAGCUGAUUAGUACUAAUUUGUCGUGCGGCUUUCUUGA